GCCUCUUUGCAGCAGUCUCUCAGAGCUAUCUGAGAUGCUGCCUCCCAGAUUGCAGUCCUCAUUUUGCCCCAAAUAAAACUUAACUCACAACUCUCAAGUUGUACAUCUUUUUUUAGUUGACAGUUAUGGUGACCACAAAAAGACCCAGAGUGGACUUCCUUCCUUUGACUGGACUCCAGGAGGAACUGGAGCUGUGGUACUAGCAGCGGCCCCCUGCGCCCAUCCGCCUCCUGGGGGAGUGCAGACAAAUUUGGAUCAGAUGCCUCAUACAUGACUUGCAAUCAAGACUGGAAGAAGACAUAAUUUAAGUAACUGUCUCCAAUCUGGAUGGAAGGACCUUUCUAUCAGGUACUUUAAACUAGCUCACGCCCAGUGAAACUGAAGGGAAACUGACUCUUGGGUUAACUCCCACUUCCAAAGAUCCCUAAGAUGGACUGGUCCAUAGAGAGGACCGCUGACCUCAGACUCACCUUAAAGCAAUGUUCAAACAGAGGAUGAGAAGAAGACAGCAUCAGAAGUUGACAGCUUGCCCAAGAUGCUAAUCAGACUUGUACGAUCAUUUAUAAUGUUUUAUUGAUUCUUUGGACCUAUGCCUGUCAAUCAAAUAUUUUCUAUCAUGGACAUGAUUCUAUGCUAGUUUAAAACACAAUGUAAUUGUUGGGUUGUGGCCAAUUACCUGUGCCUAGUACUUCUGGGUUACCUUGGUGGAUUUCUGUUCUCUAGGGCUCUGAUUGGAUACCCCCUAGGAAAUUUAUUUUAGAUGGGUGUUCAGUCCUGUUCUAUCUAUUCAUGAUAUUACUAGAUGGGAUCCUGUCACCUGGCCAAUUAAUAAUACCUGCUCUGAUGCUGG